GUGGGGAAUAUUGGACAAUGGGGGCAACCCUGAUCCAGCGACGCCGCGUGAGUGAUGAAGGCCUUCGGGUCGUAAAGCUCUGUUGCAGGGGAAGAACACAAUGACGGUACCCUGCUAGAAAGGAUCGGCUAACUUCGUGCCAGCAGCCGCGGUAAGACGAGGGAUCCUAGCGUUGUUCGGAAUUAUUGGGCGUAAAGCGGGUGCAGGUGGCUUGGUAAGUCAGAUGUGAAAGCCUGGGGCUUAACCCCAGAAGUGCAUUUGAUACUGCUGAGCUUGAGUGCUGGAGAGGCUAUUAGAAUUCCUGGUGUAGUGGUGAAAUACGUAGAUAUCAGGAGGAAUACCGGAGGCGAAGGCGGAUAGCUGGCCAGACACUGACACUCAGACCCGAAAGCGUGGGGAUCAAACAGGAUUAGAAACCCCGGUAGUCC
rnacentral:rRNA from 1 species